GAUGAAGAACGCAGCGAAAUGCGAUACGUAAUGUGAAUUGCAGAAUUCAGUGAAUCAUCGAGUCUUUGAACGCACAUUGCGCCCCCUGGUAUUCCGGUGGGCAUGCCUGUCCGAGCGUCAUUGCUGCCCUCAAGCACGGCUUGUGUGUUGGGCCUCCGUCCUCCUCCCGGGGGACGGGCCCGAAAGGCAGCGGCGGCACCGCGUCCGGUCCUCGAGCGUAUGGGGCUUCGUCACCCGCUCUUGUAGGCCCGGCCGGCGCUUGCCGACACAUCACUCUUUUUUCCAGGUUGACCUCGGAUCAGGUAGGGAUACCCGCUGAACUUAAGCAUAUCAAUAAGCGGAGGA
rnacentral:misc_RNA from 1 species